AUUGAACGCUGGCGGCAUGCUUUACACAUGCAAGUCGAACGGUAACAGGCCGCAAGGUGCUGACGAGUGGCGAACGGGUGUGUAAUGCAUCGGAACGUGCCCAGUCGUGGGUGAUAACGCAGCGAAAGCUGCGCUAAUACCGCAUACGAUCUAUGGAUGAAAGCGGGGGACCGUAAGGCCUCGCGCGAUUGGAGCGGCCGAUGUCAGAUUAGGUAGUUGGUGGGGUAAAGGCUCACCAAGCCAACGAUCUGUAGCUGGUCUGAGAGGACGACCGGCCACACUGGGACUGAGACACGGCCCAGACUCCUACGGGAGGCAGCAGUGGGGAAUUUUGGAUAAUGGGCGCAAGCCUGAUCCAGCAAUGCCGCGUGCAGGAAGAAGGCCUUCGGGUUGUAAACUGCUUUUGUACGGAACGAAACGGUCCUGGUUAAUACCCGGGGCUAAUGACGGUACCGUAAGAAUAAGCACCGGCUAACUACGUGCCAGCCGCCGCAGUAAAAC
rnacentral:rRNA from 1 species